rnacentral:rRNA from 1 species
AAAGGUGGGGAUGACGUCAAGUCCUCAUGGCCUUUAUGCCCAGGGCUACACACGUGCUACAAUGGGUGGUACAAAGAGCAGCCAGCUCGCGAGAGUGAGCAAAUCUCAAAAAGCCAUCCUCAGUUCGGAUUGGAGUCUGCAACUCGACUCCAUGAAGUUGGAAUCGCUAGUAAUCGCGGAUCAGCAUGCCGCGGUGAAUACGUUCCCGGGCCUU